GAUGAACGCUGGCGGCGUGCUUAACACAUGCAAGUCGAACGAGGUUAUGGCAGCGGAAGUUUUCGGAUGGAAGCAGCCUUAACCGAGUGGCGGACGGGUGAGUAACGCGUGGGGAACCUGCCCCAUUCCGGGGGAUACCAGUUGGAAACGACUGUUAAUACCGCAUAAGCGCACAGUACCGCAUGGUACGGUGUGAAAAACUCCGGUGGAAUGGGAUGGCCCCGCGUCUGAUUAGGCAGUUGGCGGGGUAACGGCCCACCAAACCGACGAUCAGUAGCCGACCUGAGAGGGUGACCGGCCACAUUGGGACUGAGACACGGCCCAAACUCC
rnacentral:rRNA from 1 species